UGUCACUUCGCUUGGACUUUCAGUGGAAAAAGUUAAGUUCCGUGUGCGUUCUCUAAUUUUCACUGAAUAAUCACAGAAAAAGGCUUCUGAGGACCGCAGAAAUGUCACGCUAUCGCGAAUGGGAUCUUCAGUGCAAAGUCUACGUGGGCAACUUGGGCUCUUCGGCGUCCAAGCACGAGAUCGAGAGUGCUUUUGGAAAGUAUGGUCCGCUGAGAAACGUCUGGGUGGCGAGAAACCCGCCGGGCUUCGCCUUCGUGGAAUUCGAAGACAGACGCGAUGCUGAAGACGCGGUUCGCGGUCUGGACGGAACGCGCUGCUGUGGAACUCGCAUUCGCGUGGAGAUGUCUUCGGGGCGCUCUCGUCGGGAUGAUCGUCGCCGCGGACGCAAUAGGUACAGGGGCAGGAUGCUCUCUUCCAUGAUCCACAACCACCACAAUCAUCACAACAUCCACAAGUACACAUCUACCGUAGCUACAAUUGCCAAACUACUUUCUCGCCUUUUCCUCCCACUCUUCGCGAUCACCUGAAGAAGUGGCCACACAAUCUUUGGGAUUUUGGGCAUCCUCAUCUCUUCUCGGCCACUCGUCGACAAUUGCGCGCACUUUCACUGCGCGUCGCCUCGUCCUUCGGCUGGCGUGUGUCGACUGGAACACAUCCUCCGGCUCUUCUAUUGUCUUCCCGGCAGCGCAAUCCUCUUGUCACUUCCCUCAGCGACAAAGCCUCAUCCACAAAACAAGCUCAUCAAAUCGCGGCACAGCGCAAUUUUGAUUCGUAAUUUUUACUUUACGAUUAAUGCCUUCUCCAUUUUGACAAAUGAAAAUGAUGAAGCGAAAGUUAGUCAAUUUGUUUGAUGUGCCACGAAUUGAUGGAGAGAAAAAGAAAAACCUUCAGUGCAUGAAACUUCCUACCAACCAUCAUAAUCAUCAUGUGUUUGCAAAAUGUGGCCCCAAAUGAAAAAUUGGGGAAGGGCGCCAAGAUACACACAACCCAACCCGAUCGGCGAGCCAAAAUCUCCUCCUCAACCUUUUGCUCCACUUCAAACUUCGAGGAGAAAUUGCUUCGACCGGCCAAAUUGUGUCUAAAAAAAAGCACCGCGCGCCAUCAGCGAAUCCCUCCGUUUCACCAUCUCACCAAUCGACCAACCAACCAACCUCAGAGUGCUCAACAACACAUCUCUUCUACACGUCUCCGCUUCGCACGCGCGCAAUGUCCAGCGAAAGACUUGUUAGCAAAAUCCAACCCCGAUUCGACUUCUCGUCUUCUUGACCCGCACCAAAAAAAACCAACCAAUCUAAACAUUCAUCUCGUCUCAUCUCAACGCUCUCAAUUGUCACAAAAAAAAAAUCUCCUACAACGCACCGAAAUCAGAAAAAAAUGGUCUCUCGAUCAAAUUGGCAGUCAAAGAGAGAGCGAAAAAAAAAACUGAAUGCUUGACUCGAUUUCCGAUCAACAACUAUACUACUCUUCUGCUAUUUUGCCAUACUACCUUCUACUACCAACUACUACAUCGUUAUCAGCCACGGCAUCAUUUAGUGGUCACGAUCUCCGCGCCGCUCAAGGACACGCUCGAGGAGCCUCUCGCCGCGCGACCGCCGCAGCCGAUCAGACUCGCGCGAUCGCCGCUAAGGAGAAAGGACAUUUUGCACUGCUGAUGAAGAUGAAGAAAAAAACAGAAGUGUUUUCCUUUCUACGGUAUAAUUAUACAUUAAUUCUUUUCUAAGGAAAUCAAUAGAUUACAUGAGUAACUUUUAAGGUGAUGCCUCUUUAUUUUUGAACAAUGAUUUGAACUUUGUGUGAAAGAGGGAAGAAGGAAAUACAAAACAUCUCAAAGUAAAAAAUUAGAUUGAGAAAGCAAAAUCAUUCCCACGCAUUGUCCUCUUUUUUUUUGUCAUAAUAAUUUAAAAACGAAAAAGAAAAAGAACGAAAAAAAAGAUAAAUUACUGUCCCUGAUAAAGUUUCAUGCUUGAAUUUAUCACUACAUGAUCUUUUAUGGUACUUUGAGAUGAAUAAAAACUGUUGUAGAGCCAUAGAA